AUCUGUAUCGCUAUCAACUAAAGGAGUUUCAGAGGCCAAGAAAGUUUUUUUCAAGUGUAUAAGUGCAGUUUAAGUUAAAUUUACACCGCCAAAUUGGACCACCAUCGAUCUGCUAGACCAACUAGCCUGCGAGAGCCGCAAGGCAUUGAUUAGAUAAGCAUUAGAGGAGGCUCGCCCGCUAUAAGUACCAGCUGGGGUGAAAAAAAAAUAAAAAUAAACCUGCACAUAAGUAAGCCAUAGCGGAGGCUCGGCCCUUUGAAUUUGUCAGCUGGAGCGACAGAGAGUUUCGCCGGAGCUUUUGCCGCCGCUAAGCAAGCAAGCAAGCAAGCGAGAGGGAAGACGGCGCACAGUACCAGGCCAACGGCGGCCGCUUAAAACAGCGCCAAAGCGUUGCUUACGCGGAGUAAUUAAAACCCCGCUAGGGAGGGGAGGGGAAUAAACGAAUUAUUGAAAUCAAAAUUACAGCCCAACCCACUCAAUAAGUGAAAAGAAUGUUAUAGAAAAAAUGAGAGAAAAACACCCUCCACUAAUGUUUAAAUACGUAUAAUUAUAGUCUAAAAAUCUUUAUUUAAAUGGAUAGCGGCCGAAAUCGGAAGCGCUUCAACGAUGGAGGUACCGACUGUGAGUAACUAUAUAUCUACAAUUGAAAUUAUUUCUUGUUUGGGCGCAAUGGUCCAUUAGUUAGGGCGAAUAGGGUAAAAGAAUAAGAGAGAAAAAAAACGGAGAGCCCAAGCCCCUAAACACAUAUACCCUUCCCAUUAAAAAUAGAGGGUAUCUGUAUGCAAGUGCAGGUGCAGCUGGUUUUUUUUGUUUUCUCCACAUUUUUCAAUCUCGCUUCCCAUGCCUUCACCCUUCUUUAUUUUCCCCUCUUAUCAUGUCCAUUUA